GCAAGCGUUAAUCGGAAUUACUGGGCGUAAAGCGUGCGUAGACGGUUACAUAAGUCGGGUGUGAAAGCCCCGGGCUCAACCUGGGAAUUGCAUUCGAGACUGCGUAGCUAGGGUGCGGAAGAGGGAAGCGGAAUUUCCGGUGUAGCGGUGAAAUGCGUAGAUAUCGGAAGGAACACCAGUGGCGAAAGCGGCUUCCUGGUCCAGCACCGACGUUCAGGCACGAAAGCGUGGGGAGCAAACAGG
rnacentral:rRNA from 1 species